rnacentral:lncRNA from 1 species
GGGGUUGAUGUGUUCCUGUGUCGUCGUCCGAGGUCUUUGCCGGUCGGACGUGCGGGACCAAAUGGAUCGUGUGUGUUUAUCCCAUUGGCUUUCGCACGAUGUCUCAGACGGGUCAAGGCGUGCUGUUUCAUUUCUCGUUAUAGAAAAUUCGGAGAGAAUCCGAUCGGCACAGAUCCCCGCGACGGCUCGCGAGGAUGUGCUACUUGAUGAGUCCUAGAAUUGGCGAUUUUCCUGAGAAACGGGCGGCGAGGUCGAAGCUGCUGGAGAUGUUGA